GAUACCCGCUGAACUUAAGCAUAUCAAUA
rnacentral:rRNA from 1 species